rnacentral:rRNA from 1 species
AGAACGAACGCUGGCGGCAGGCUUAACACAUGCAAGUCGAACGCCCCGCAAGGGGAGUGGCAGACGGGUGAGUAACACGUGGGAACGUGCCCUAAGGUUUGGAAUAUUCCCGGGAAACUGGGAGCAAUACCAAAUGUGUCCGCAAGGAGAAAGAUUUAUCGCCUUAGGAUCGGCCCGCGUCAGAUUAGGUUGUUGGUGGGGUAAUGGCCUACCAAGCCGACGAUCUGUAGCUGGUCUGAGAGGACGACCAGCCACACUGGGACUGAGACACGGCCCAGACUCCUACGGGAGGCAGCAGUGGGGAAUCUUGGACAAGUGGGCGCAAGCCUGAUCCAGCCAUGCCGCGUGGAUGAUGAAGGCCUUAGGGUUGUAAAAUCUUCGUGGACGAUAAUGACGUACCAAGAAGAGCUCCGCUAACUUCGUGCCAGCAGCCGAC